rnacentral:rRNA from 1 species
UACGGGGGGGCAAGCGUUGUUCGGAAUUACUGGGCGUAAAGGGCUCGUAGGCGGCCAACUAAGUCAUACGUGAAAUCCCUCGGCUUAACCGGGGAACUGCGUCUGAUACUGGAUGGCUUGAGAUUGGGAGAGGGAUGCGGAAUUCCAGGUGUAGCGGUGAAAUGCGUAGAUAUCUGGAGGAACACCGGUGGCGAAGGCGGCAUCCUGGACCAAUACUGACGCUGAGGAGCGAAAGCCAGGGGAGCAAACGGG